AAUGUGCAUAAAAUCAUCUAUGAAAUUAGAAAUGUUAUUUUAAGUGAAAGAUGUAGUAAAAUGGGCAUUCUCUAGUACUAGAGGUACUAUGAAUUAAUACAAUACUUUAAAGAGGAAUUUUAUUUUAAAAAUGUGUUUAAACUUCAUUCUCUUUAACUCAGUAAUCAAACUUUUUAAAGCUUCAUCAUAAGAAAUGAUCUGAAAUAUUGAGAAAACUGUACGAAUGAAAAGUUUUUAUUGCAGUGACAUUUAUAUAAGUUAAAACUUAGAAGAGGCCUAAAUCUUCAGCACAAGGGGGUAGCCCGUCAAAUAGUCUUUUAAAAUAAUGCUUAUAAAGACUAUCUAGCAAUGUGGAAUGAUACUCAUCUUUAUUUCAGAAGAAACCUCGCCCACUAUCACUCUCUUCCUGAAGAGCUAACUGCUAUGAGGCACAUACUCAUAGAUAUUCACUAAGUAUAGCAAAUCAAAAUACCUAACGAUGUUGCGUUAUCGCCAUACAACCAUCCUAUUCCAAACAUACUGUUUGGGCACACCCCACUGUGACUGACAGAAUCACCCAAACCAAAUCACUCAAGUCUACUCUAUACACCUCCUGUUCACUCCUACUGUCUAGCAAACAGAAGCCUAUUUAAUUUAAUGGCUAGCAUCGUGGGGGAAUUCAUUUAAGGAAAAAAUACACUAUGUAAAAUUAUAUGCUAUAAUAAACUUCACUAAAAUGAGUAUGUGUGCACACACAUGCAUACGUAUACACAGACUUGGAGGCCGUAUCGUGGUAAUAGCGGUUAUGUUCCAGUGGGAGAUUAUUUUUCUUAGUUCUAAGUUUGUAAAAAAAAAAAAAAAAAAAAACACAACUAUACUUUGAAAUUCAAUUCCAGUGAGAUGCCAGGAAACCGGUAUGAUCAUAUACAUUCAUUAUGGCAUCGUAAAAUGACCCAAUUCUUGUGAACAGCAACAUGUGAUACAUGUCAAAAUCCAUAAAUUUGUUUAUACCUUUUACCUAAAAACUCCUACCCUGGGAAUUUAUCAUAAGGAACCAAUACAAACGAAAAAAAGCAAAAAGACUGUAGUAUUUAAAAACUUAAAGGUGUCUGAAAGUAAAAGAAUGACUAAGAAAAUUAAGGUUACGUUCUUAAAAAAUAGUAGAUAUAAAAUGCAUAGAAAAAAGGAAAACACACAACAUAGAAAAAAGGAAAUGUUAAGCUAAAAAAGCAGAACACAAAUAAUGUUGAAUAAACAGAGUAAAAGAAAAUUGUAUUAAUUAUUUUAACUAAGCAAAUAUUCUCUUCGCCACUACAAAAGUGAUGCGUGCGCUGAAAAGUAAGGAAAACUGUUACGUUAAAUCACGGAAAGUGCUUUCAUUUUGAAAGUGAGUAUCCUCUGAUGGGGCUGUGAAGAUCAGGUUUAAAAACGAAAACAUGGAAGGAAAGUAGAUACUAAGGGAUAAUAAUUUCACAUUUUAAAAAAGGAAAUCUAGUUUCAGAAAAGAUAACAUAAGGCUUCUGCUAAAUGAUAAAAGGAAUUCUUCUCUGGAUACAAAAGUUUCCUUAAGGAAAAUAAAUAUUAAAUAUGUUCAUAGGUGACUGCUCCAACAAAGUUGCACGGAAGCGAAAUUAUUAACACAGUUGUUAUUUUUCUUUCUAAAACAAGCCAGCAAUGGUUUUAAGUUGUAUGGUUUUUCUUAAGACUUUGAAAAUGUUUUUUGGCAUUUAAUUGGAUAUUCAUUAACGCUAACAGAAAAGGAAAUAGUGCCACCUACUGAACUUUCGCAUUAAAAAAAAGAAAUCAGUAUUCUUUAGGCUGUGGAACUUGCGGUCUGCAGCAAGAAUAAAAUGGAUGAUAAUUAAAUAUUGCCCAGUAUAUUUGAACAUUACUUUUUACUACUAAUACUUGAUAAAAAAUGAAUUAUAAGUUUAAAUUCGUCUGAUUGCCCGGACGAGAAAUAAUUAAUGAGUGCUGAUUGUGCACAUGGCAGUGUAUUAGCACAAACAGCAACAAUUAAACAACACUAUCACAUAACAUCACAGUGCUCAUGACAAAAAAAAAAAAAAAAAGAGGGAAAUUACUGCUGUAAGAUUAGACGCAAAUAACUACAGUCAAAUAUUAUCUAAAAUGAGAUUCUCGAAUACGUCUAAGGGUUAGAAAACGUUGAUUCAAAGUUACUAAACGUAGAUCCGUAAAACUAAAGUGUUAUCGCUAAAAACCAAUGCAAGAGACACACAGAAGUGUGAAAGAUCACGGCAGAGAUCUGGCCCAUACACACUGCAUAUCCGCAGGUGUCAUUCUCUUCCCCUCAAAGCUAAUGAUCGGAUGAAAUGUCCAGUUAUGCUACGGCCUUCAGGGUCAGUGACUCCACGCCAGCCGGAACAAGCUCUCCCUGCAGCAGAACGUAGGGAAGCCCCCCAGGCAGAGGGGAGCCGCGCCUGCUCUCGCCACAGCACUCCACACGCCCGGCCGGGGUUCCCACGCUACACAGAACGAGGGUGGACGCCGUCACAAAUGUGACUGCACUACAAGUGUUUUCUUUUUCUGGAUAUAACGGCGUGACCACCAUUUUGCUUGGCGCUGAGAUCUUCAGGAAAGCGGGUUCGAAGAUCUUAUUGAAGACCUACCAUAGGAGGUAUGCUGAAUCCAUCAACAGACCACCUAGAAGACUCUCACAGACCAGCUGAUCUAGUCACCGCACUCAGAACCCAACAACGACUCCGGCAGAAGAUGCUAUUUUCAGACGCUGCUCAGCACACCAGAACAGGGAGCAAAAAGUACGUUACUCAUGUGAAUCUGCAAGUGUGUAUGGCAAGCGGAGGAGAGAAUGUUCUUGGAUAAAACACAGGUACCGGCCAUCAGAACUGUAACAGUCCAAGCGCAGUGUGCAUUUAAAAAACACUUUCAAAGCGGUCUCAUUUCUAAACAUCGAACUGGAUACAGCAGGCAAAAACUCCUUCCGUAUCAUCUCCUCCUGCAUCAUCUCCGUGCCACGGUCCACUCGCUCCUCAGCCAGGCAUCCACCCCGGCCCAGCUCUCAGGUGUGCAUUCCCUCGGCCCCUAAGCCCAUGGUGAACACCAUUCUAGAUUUAUCCUGAUUGCAGACUUACUUCACAAAUGUGGAUCGGAUUUCACCUACAAACUGCUUAAGAGUCAGGAAGGUGAAAUGGGAAGAGAGCUCACACUGCUGCGUCUGUGUCUCACGUCCGAUUCUAUACAAAUGACUCACAGAACCUGUCACUUAAUCCUCACGAGCGUCCACGAGGUAGAUAUUCCUAAGCCUAUUUUACAGAUGAUGAACGGAAAGUUCCGAAAGGCACGGCGACCUGGUAAGACGAUAAACUCAAUGAGCAUCUGGGUGGCUCCCCGGGGCCCACGAUGUCUGUACCAGCACCUGUCCCUACCCCUCACCAGAGCACCCCCACCGCGGCAGGCAGACAAGACGCUCCAAUGCUUCUCCGCCACGAGCCAAGUCGAAGGGUCAGUAAGUGGGUCGUCUCCUGACAGUACUUCGCUAAUGAUAUUUUACGACCAAAGUCUGGCCUGUCUGUGGCUCUCAAGGAAAACAAACAACCUGGUGGACAAGCAUUAUCAUCCCAGGUGUGAUAAUAACGAUCCCACCCUCUGCACCGCGAACCAGAAUACGAGGGGCUUUCUAACAGGCUGUACCCGUGGGGAAAAGAAAGAUUUCAGAUUGUAAAUGAUUUAUUAAAUUGACUUGGGAGGCUAAAUUAAAAAAUGGUAACUCUAGGACUGCAUUUUAUAUCCCUUCCCUGAACGGGAGGAAAAGGUUUGAUAAGCAUCUUAUUGUCCUGCCCGUCACUUAUUGCAACCUUACGAACCAUAUGCAUACCUUAUGAAUCAGCAGUAUUUCUGCUCCUUGGAGAAUGUGUAAUUGUUGUUAGCUGAAAAGGGAGUGUUCAAGGCUUAUGCUAUUUCUUUUUAAAAUGUUUAUAAUUUCUUUUGCCUAAAACUUCAAAUGAAGUAAGAUUCUCUUCUUGCUUCAAAUGAUCCAGGAGAGAAACUCAAAAAUUUACUGCAGUAAUUUCAGAUCGAAGUCAGUAUCUAAAAUCCCUAACCACGAAUUUCCUUGUGUAUCCUUUGCAUGCUAUGAAAAUAAAACAAGUGGGACUAAGUACUUAAGAGUUGACUGUUAUCAAAGUUCAGAGCUUAAUUUUCAGUAGUGAGCUUGAUAGGACUUAUUACAUUAUUAAAAAUGACUCAGUAACUCUCUAAGUGAAUAAACGCAGGUUCUGCACGGACCAACGAAGAGCCUGAAUCAUGGAUUAAGAUAAAUCAAACGCCCAUCUGAGUCCACAUUCUGUAAAAGGCCAGAAGAAACAUUAAGCGAUUUAUUAAAUAGGAGGUAUAAGACGAGACCGAAAGAUACGUAAACCACAAAAUGGAUUUAGAAAGCUCCAAAAGGCACAGAGAAAAUGGACGAGAAUGUUCUAAGCAGAGAAGAUAGUAGCUCCUGUUCAGAAACAGGCCAGCUGAGAGUGCACCGAAGUCCUGGCUGGCCAACCU